GAAUGGCUCUUCCAGUUUUGUGCCCAAGCUUCCUCCCCUCCGCGAUCUGCCAUAAUCAACCCUCUCUCUUAUCGUUUAGACACCUUCGCUCCUCCUCCUCCUCCUCCUCCUCCCGCGCCUCCUCCGGCGCCCAAUUCGUGACAUGCGCUUCGAAGAUUGAAGAUCAAGAGAUUGCAAGACGUUCGGCGAAUUGGGAACCCAGUGUUUGGGACUAUGGCGUUGUGCAGUCACUCAGUGUUGAUUACACGGAGGAUAAAUAUAUGGAGCAAGUUCAAAGGUUGAAGGAAGAAGUUAGGGGUCUAUUUGACAAGGAGAUAAAUCAGGCGGCCAAGCUCGAGUUCAUUGAUGUGGUUCAAAGACUUGGACUAGGAUACCAUUUUGAGACGGAGAUCAAGAAUGCUCUAAGUUCCAUCUAUAACAACACCGAAGAUGCUCAAAUUUCAAAUAAUCUCUAUGCUGCUUCUCUUCGAUUCCGACUACUCAGACAACAUGGAUACAACGUACCACAGGAUGUGUUUCAAAGGUUUAUGAGCAAGAUGGGCACAUUCAACGAAUCGAUCCAUGAAGAUGUGAAGGGGCUUCUUGGUCUUUAUGAAGCUUCUUUUCACGGAUUGGAAGGCGAAACCAUACUCGAUGAAGGUUGGAAAUUCGCUUCAAAGCAUCUGAAGGAUCUAAACCUUAACGAAGUUCCCACUAAUAUAGCGAGCAACGUGAGUCAUGCAUUAGAUAUGCCGAUCCACUGGAGACCAAACAGGUUGGAGGCUCGGUGGUUCAUGGACAUGUACGGGAAACAGCAAGACAUGAUCCCUUCUUUGUUACGAUUGGCUAAAAUAGACUUCAAUUUAGUGCAAUCAAUCCAUAGGAAGGAAGUCAGCAAUCUGGCAAGGUGGUGGGUUGAACUUGGGGCGAACAAGAUGACCUUCUUUAGGGACAGACUAGUGGAAAACUAUUUUGGAGCUGUAUAUUUGUUUUUGAACCUCAAUAUACAGCUUUCAGAGAAUUGAAUACAAGGAUUGGUUGUCUGGUGACACUUAUCGAUGACGUUUAUGAUAUAUAUGGGACGCCAGAAGAGCUUGAGCUCUUAACAGAUUUCAUUCUCAGGUGGGACAUUACAAAUAUAGAUAAGCUUCCUCCAACAAUAAGAGAUAGCUUUAUGGUCUUGUACAACACGACCAACGAAGUUGGGUAUUGGACGAUGAGAGAACGAGGAAUCAACCCCAUCCCUUACUUGCGAAAAGUGUGGGCCGAUGAAUGCAAGGCGUACAUGAAGGAGGUCUAUUGGUACAACAAGGGCAUUAAACCGACACUGAAGGAGUACAUGGACGUUGCGGUGGAUUCAAUCGGAGGGCUGAUUUUGAUGUUGGAUAGCUACUUCCUAACCACGGACGAAGUGACGGAAGAGGGACUUGAUUAUGUGUCGAAAAUCCCGGGUGUCAUGCAUUCUUCUGCCAGGAUCCUUCGCUUCAAUGAUGAUCUCAGUACAUCAUCGCAUGAAUUGGCACGAGGAGACAACUCCAAGGCAUUGGAAUGCUACAUGAAUGAAACCGGUGCUUCAGAAGAGGCCGCACGAGAACAUAUCAAGCAUCUAGUGCGCAAGACUUGGAAGAAGAUGAAUAAAGAAGUGUUUGAGGACUACCCAUUCUCCGGGUUCAAGCCUUUUCUCGGUGCCUGUUUGAACAUGGCACGGGCUUCUCAUUGCUUUUACGAUUAUGGAGACGGACACGGCCUUCCCGGUCACCAAACCAAGGACCAUCUUGUGUCGACUAUAUUUGAAUCUGUGCCCCUCGAUUAGGGAUGCAUUGUUGACCAAGGUCUUGCUAUUGGAAAGAGCCUUUAAUCUUAUGUGUUAUUGUUAGCUUUAGGGUGGCUCUAUGAUCUCCAAGAUAUUGAAACUACUGUAAUUGAAGCCUAUUGAGGGGUGUUUUUACAAGCUUCAUAAAAUUGGGCAGAAGACCACAUGCUAA